rnacentral:rRNA from 1 species
GACGAACGCUGGCGGCGUGCUUAACACAUGCAAGUCGAACGGAAAGGCUCCUGCUUGCCGGGGUACUCGAGUGGCGAACGGGUGAGUAACACGUGGGUGAUCUGCCCUGCACUUCGGGAUAAGCCUGGGAAACUGGGUCUAAUACCGGAUAGGACCACAUUUUGGAUGGUGUGGUGGAAAGUUUUUCGGUGUGGGAUGAGCUCGCGGCCUAUCAGCUUGUUGGUGGGGUAAUGGCCUACCAAGGCGUCGACGGGUAGCCGGCCUGAGAGGGUGUACGGCCACAUUGGGACUGAGAUACGGCCCAGACUCCUACGGGAGGCAGCAGUGGGGAAUAUUGCACAAUGGGCGCAAGCCUGAUGCAGCGACGCCGCGUGGGGGAUGACGGCCUUCGGGUUGUAAACUCCUUUCGCUAGGGACGAAGCGCAAGUGACGGUACCUGGAGAAGAAGCACCGGCUAACUACGUG